AUUAAUAUAUUUGCGUAAUGCUAUUAAACCCAAAAGUUUAAUAGCUUUUUCGGACUUUCUUAAACUUUAAAAUUUCGGAUCACAUCAGUAAUACAUGUAUAUAAGACUUGCUAUUAAACCCAAAGGAGGUAAAGAUUUGCCAUCAGAUGCUAAUUUACAACUUCACUUUUGCUGCGGCUUCUUUGAUUUGUUCAAUUGUGAAAAUGCCAAAGAAAUCAUCAUCCACGACUGCAUUUAGUACUGCUAGUGCAAGAUCAUCAACACUAACAGGUGGAGCCAAGAGCAGAUCUGAUGCUGGAAUAGAACUUAAUGGCUUCGUGAAGUUUUCUAUAGCACGAAGAAUUCUCUCUGCUGGUUCCCCAAUCAAAUCCAGAGGAAUUUCAAAGUCACCCACCUUUCGCUUCCCAUAUAUAAAAGCGGGUCUUAAAACGACACCUGAGGAAGACUCAAGCCAAUGAAUAUAGUGAAAACAAAGAGUAAGGAGAUAAAUCAUGCAAGUUGUAAAUGAUAGGGAUGUAUGGCAGCCAUUCGUCUGAUUGUAUAUUCAUUAAGACAUGAUGCACAUUGGCCAUGAAUUGACAGGAAGAAUACAUAUCAUUCCAAGCUCUAUACUAUUAAUAUACCAACAAGCAAUUAUGAUUAGUGAUGCUCCUUCUGGGGUCUUUCCUCUACUUUACCACAAUAUAAAUACAUUGAAUUAAUGAAGUUUCAUGAAGAAGGCAUUGAUGAGUAACAGUAGUAACACAAGCUUUUAAAGAUUAAUUUUUCUUGUUUAACCUCAAUUUGCAGUUGUGAAAUAUCCUAUAGUGGUGACUUUUCAUGCACAUCAAUAAUCAUAAGCAAAGCACUUGCAAACAAGUAUCUAGUCUGACACUAAGUUGGCCGCAUUUUAACCAAGGAUAGAAGCUGGGAUUGCCCUAUUAUACAUAACAUCAAUAAAUAAUUUCCAAAAUAUAACCCAAAAGCAAAGACAUAUUCCAAAUUACCAGAGUUUGGAUAUUUUGAAAGAACUUCUGAUUCUGCUUUCCUCUUUCCUGUGAAAUAUGCGGAUGAAAGUAGAAAUGAUGGCAAAUUGUAAUCAUGCACACUGAUCAAGAUAAACUUGGGAACUCCUGCAAGAAAAAAGGAGAUCAUGUGAGUUGAUAGGUUUUGGCACAACAUUUCCAAUAUACAAAUAGCGCACAUAAACAAGAACGCUUAAAGAAAUACAAAAUGGACAACAAGUUUUUGGAAAUAAGAAGCUAAAUUUCCAAGAACUUCUGUUCUUUCAGAAAAUCUCUAUGACCCAUUUGCGAGUGAAGAAAUCACAUUAUAUAUAUAUAUAUAUAUAUAUAUUUCAAAAAAGUUCAAAUCCAACUGAUGCUUCAACUCGGAGACAUCCGAUAAAAUUGGAACUGAUGCUUCAACUCAAUGUUCUCUAAAAUACAUUACAAAUUAAACCAUUGAUUUCAUAUAGCAGAAUUGAUACAUCUUCCAUGUCAGGUAAUUGACAUCGUGUAUAUUAAUCAUCCUUAGAUGCGCAUAAUGAGUGAAAGAAAGGUCAAAAUCAACCAUUUCUUCCGUGAUUAAUUAACAUUAUUGGCUAUCUUCAAUUUGUUGAUGAUUGAUUGAGUACUGUUUUAUCAUCCACUUCCAUAGUUUCUUUUUAUUUCCUCAGGGAUCCUCAUUAUGUUGAAAAAAAUCAAUAAAUUCAUUCAUCAUUGAGUUCUGCCUUGUCAUGCUCUGAAGAAAGACAGACAUCAUCACCCUAGAUGUGUCUAAUCUUUUCCUUUACAAAUUCUUUUCUCUGACAUGGAAAACAAGAUAUAGCCUCUGUGGGGUAAUAAACACUUUUCAUCGUCUCAAUACCACAACCUUUUUUUUUUCUGUAAUUAAAAACACAUAAGUUUCUGCUGCAUUGUCAACAGAGGAACUGGAAAAUCAAAUGGGUACCAUAAGAGGCAAAGGUUGAACUCUCUUGAAUAGUUCUAAGAGAGAAAUUCUUAAUUCUGGAGGCAAACCAUGUUCAGUUGCCAUGCAGGUAAGGAAGUAAUUGGAAACUUUCUCCCUAACUGAAGCAUUUAAACUUUAGAGGCUUAAGUCAAAAUGUCUGACUUAUUAAGUCACUGAGCUGUUCUAAGUACAUGAAAUUUGAGUUGUAUGGGGUAAGAUGCAAAUCAGUCAUAGACUUUUCUAAUGCAAACAAGACAAGAAGGCCAAAUAUACUCAGUGAAGUAGAACUCUACAGCUCUCAUAAUCACUCAAUCUCAGAACAGGGGAUUUUCCUUUCCAUCCCAUGCCAAAUAACAAGGUUGAGGAAGCAUACUAGAUGAUUUAAAUCAAGAAUUAGCAAACUAGUCAUCCAUUUCAGCCGUGCAGCAUGCUCACCUUAUGGUUGAAAUAUAUUUCUUCAAACCUCAGAAUGAAUGUUGAGUCAUGAAGGGCAUACCUAAGGUUUGCCGAGCCAAGCUAAUUAUUUAGGUCCCCGAACAGGGUUUUUCCAAAAAUCCGGUAAAUGAAAAUAUUAUACCCAACUACAAUAAAAUGAUGAAAAAUAUAGAACUUGAACAUUAAAAUCACUGGAAUAUGUUCAUUGACAGUCUCUUACCAUAUUCCUUUGCAGCAUUCACUGCCACAACAUUAGCCUCACCAUUGAUCCGUAGCAUCUGUUCCUCACUACCAAUGCCUCCAAUGGUAGAAACUACUGCAGUGGCCCCAGCAAGUACUUCAUCCCAGUUUACAUAGAAAACAUCUCCUG
rnacentral:lncRNA from 1 species